GGUUGUGCGGUGAAUGGGGGUGAAUGGGGUUUUGUUCUUGUGAUUCGAAAUCAGAUCCUCUUGAGGGCGCAGGUUCGAAUCCUGCCGCAACCG
rnacentral:tRNA from 1 species